GACGAACGCUGGCGGCGUGCUUAACACAUGCAAGUCGAACGGUGAAGCGCCUUCCUUUUUGGUGGGUGUGGAUGAGUGGCGAACGGGUGAGUAACACGUGAGUAACCUGCCCCCUUCUUCUGGAUAACCGCAUGAAAGUGUGGCUAAUACGGGAUAUUCUGGGUCUGUCGCAUGAUGGGUCUGGGAAAGAUAUUGUUUCGGUGGGGGAUGGGCUCGCGGCCUAUCAGCUUGUUGGUGGGGUGAUGGCCUACCAAGGCGGUGACGGGUAGCCGGCCUGAGAGGGUGGACGGUCACACUGGGACUGAGACACGGCCCAGACUCCUACGGGAGGCAGCAGUGGGGAAUAUUGCACAAUGGGCGCAAGCCUGAUGCAGCGACGCCGCGUGAGGGAUGGAGGCCUUCGGGUUGUGAACCUCUUUCGCCAGUGAAGCAGGCCUGCCUCGUUUGUGGGUGGGUUGACGGCAGCUGGAUAAGAAGCGCCGGCUAACUACGUG
rnacentral:rRNA from 1 species